rnacentral:rRNA from 1 species
AGUGAACGCUGGCGGUAGGCCUAACACAUGCAAGUCGAACGGCAGCACAGUAAGAGCUUGCUCUUACGGGUGGCGAGUGGCGGACGGGUGAGGAAUACAUCGGAAUCUACUUUUUCGUGGGGGAUAACGUAGGGAAACUUACGCUAAUACCGCAUACGACCUACGGGUGAAAGCAGGGGAUCUUCGGACCUUGCGCGAUUGAAUGAGCCGAUGUCGGAUUAGCUAGUUGGCGGGGUAAAGGCCCACCAAGGCGACGAUCCGUAGCUGGUCUGAGAGGAUGAGCAGCCACACUGGAACUGAGACACGGUCCAGACUCCUACGGGAGGCAGCAGUGGGGAAUAUGGGACAAGGGGCGCAAGCCUGAUCCAGCCAUACCGCGUGGGUGAAGAAGGCCUUCGGGUUGUAAAGCCCUUUUGUUGGGAAAGAAAAGCAGCAGGUUAAUACCCCGCUGUUCUGACGGUACCCAAAGAAUAAGCACCGGCUAACUUCG